CAGUCGCCACGGGAAUACGUAGGGUGCGAGCGUUAAUCGGAAUUAUUGGGCGUAAAGCGCGCGCAGGCGGAUCGGUCAGUCUGUCUUAAAAGUUCGGGGCUUAACCCCGUGAUGGGAUGGGAACUGCCAAUCUAGAGUAUCGGAGAGGAAAGUGGAAUUCCUAGUGUAGCGGUGAAAUGCGUAGAUAUUAGGAAGAACACCAGUGGCGAAGGCGACUUUCUGGACGAAAACUGACGCUGAGGCGCGAAAGCCAGGGGAGCGAGCGGGAUUAGAUACCCGGGUAGUCCAUGUCUCUUAUACA
rnacentral:rRNA from 1 species